rnacentral:rRNA from 1 species
UACGUAGGGCGCAAGCGUUGUCCGGAAUUAUUGGGCGUAAAGAGCUCGUAGGCGGUUUGUCGCGUCUGCUGUGAAAUCCCCGAGGCUCAACCUCGGGCUUGCAGUGGGUACGGGCAGACUAGAGUGCGGUAGGGGAGACUGGAAUUCCUGGUGUAGCGGUGGAAUGCGCAGAUAUCAGGAGGAACACCGAUGGCGAAGGCAGGUCUCUGGGCCGCAACUGAC